rnacentral:rRNA from 1 species
CUCCUACGGGAGGCAGCAGUAGGGAAUCUUCCGCAAUGGACGAAAGUCUGACGGAGCAACGCCGCGUGAGUGAUGAAGGUUUUCGGAUCGUAAAACUCGGUUAUUAGGGAAGAACAAAUGUGUAAGUAACUGUGCACAUCUUGACGGUACCUAAUCAGAAAGCCACGGCUAACUACGUGCCAGCAGCCGCGGUAAUA